GGGGAGUGCGACACACACCUGCGUGCCCACUGCAGUGCAUUGUGACAGCAGCCCCUCAUGUUGGGGUGUGAGAAUGCAAAUAACUUUUUCCUGUGAGGAAACCCCCUCAGUGACCCCUCCCCCUCCCAUGCAGACAGGGAAGAGGGCGGAACCGGGAGACCCGAUGACGUCACUGGACCGGGCCGCUUCCUGCAAUAGAAAGUGAACGAAGCACAUGGAUUAAUUGACCCCUUUGGCAGAUUUAUGGAGCUGCCUUUCCUCUGCUUGCUCUACUUGCUAUUUUGGAGAGGAGAAAG
rnacentral:lncRNA from 1 species